GAUGAACGCUGACAGAAUGCUUAACACAUGCAAGUCAACUGUGGCGGACGGGUGAGUAACGCGUAAAGAACUGGCCUAACAGCUAGGGACAACAUUUGGAAACGAAUGAUAAUACCUGAUACUGUGAGAGAGCUUUGCGUCCCAUUAGCUCGUGGGAGAGGGAACGGCUCACCAAGGCGAGGAUGGGUAGCCGGCCUGAGAGGGUGAUAGGCCACAAGGGGACUGAGACGCGGCCCUGACUCAUACGGGAGGCAGCAGUGGGGAAUAGUGGACAAGGGACCAAAGUCUGAUGCAGCAAUUCUGUGUGCACGAUGAAGUUUUCGGAAGGUAAAGUGCUUUCAGUUGGGAAGCGGUACCAACAGAAGAAGUGACGGCUAAAUACGUGCCAGCAGCCGCGGUAAUAC
rnacentral:rRNA from 1 species